rnacentral:rRNA from 1 species
GAUGAACGCUGGCGGCGUGCUUAACACAUGCAAGUCGAACGAAGCACCUUAUUCUGAUUUCUUCGGAAUGAAAAAUUUGGUGACUGAGUGGCGGACGGGUGAGUAACGCGUGGGUAACCUGCCUCAUACAGGGGGAUAACAGUUAGAAAUGACUGCUAAUACCGCAUAAGACCACAGCACCGCAUGGUGCAGGGGUAAAAACUCCGGUGGUAUGAGAUGGACCCGCGUCUGAUGAGGUAGUUGGUGGGGUAACGGCCUACCAAGCCGACGAUCAGUAGCCGACCUGAGAGGGUGACCGGCCACAUUGGGACUGAGACACGGCCCGAACUCCUACGGGAGGCAGCAGUGGGGGAUAUUGCACAAUGGGGGAAACCCUGAUGCAGCGACGCCGCGUGAGCGAUGAAGUAUUUCGGUAUGUAAAGCUCUAUCAGCAGGGAAGAAAAUGACGGUACCUGACUAAGAAGCACCGGCUAAAUACGUGCCAGCAGCCGCGGUAA